UAGUCCACGCCGUAAACGAUGAUCACUAGUUGCUGGCGAUACACAGUCAGUGACCGAGCGAAAGUAUUAAGUGAUCCACCUGGGGAGUACGAUCGCAAGAUUGAAACUCAAAGGAAUUGACGGGGGCCCGCACAAGCGGAGGAACAUGUGGUUUAAUUCGAUGAUACGCGAGGAACCUUACCUGGGCUCUAAUGCGAGCGCUAUCUGGUGAAAGCCGGAGUUCCUUCGGGACGCGAAGCAAGGUGCUGCAUGGUUGUCGUCAGCUCGUGCCGUGAGGUGUUGGGUUAAGUCCCGCAACGAGCGCAACCCCUAUUGUUAGUUGCCAGCAUUAAGUUGGGGACUCUAACAAGACUGCCCGCGUAAGCGGAGAGGAAGGUGGGGAUGACGUCAAAUCAUCAUGGCCUUUAUGCCCAGGGCGACACACGUGCUACAAUGGUACAUACAGAGGGUUGCCAAGCCGCGAGGUGGAGCUAAUCCCAGAAAGUGUAUCCCAGUUCGGAUC
rnacentral:rRNA from 1 species